rnacentral:rRNA from 1 species
UACGUAGGUGGCAAGCGUUGUCCGGAUUUACUGGGCGUAAAGAGCGCGCAGGCGGUCGAGUAAGUCGAAUGUGAAAGCCCCUGGCUCAACUGGGGAGGGUCAUUCGAUACUGCUCGACUCGAAGGCAGGAGAGGGAAGCGGAAUUCCCGGUGUAGUGGUGAAAUGCGUAGAUAUCGGGAGGAACACCAGUGGCGAAGGCGGCUUUCUGGCCUGUUCUUGACGCUGAGGCGCGAAAGCUAGGGGAGCAAAC